CCUACGGGAGGCAGCAGUGAGGCAUAUUGGUCAAUGGACGAGAGUCUGAACCAGCCAAGUAGCGUGAAGGAUGACUGCCCUAUGGGUUGUAAACUUCUUUUAUAAAGGACUAAAACGAUGCACGUGUGCCUGUUUGCAUGUCCUUUAUGAAUAAGUAUCGGCUAACUCCUUCCCAGCAGCCCCGGUAAUACGGAGAAUCAGAGCGUUAUCCGGAUUUAUUGGUGUUAAGGGGAGCUUAGAUGGGUUGUUAAGUCAGUUGUGAAUGUUUGCGGAUCAACCGGAAAAUUGCAAUUGAUACUGGCAGUCUUGAGUACAGUUGAGGUAGGAGGAAUGUGUGGUGUAGCGGUGAAAUGCUUAGAUAUCACGAAGAACCCCGAUUGCGAAGGCAGCUUACUAAACUGUGACUGACAUUGAUGCUCGAAAGUGUGGGUAUCAAACAGGAUUAGAUACCCGAGUAGUC
rnacentral:rRNA from 1 species